GGGGUUGUGGCUCAGAGGUAGAGCACUUGCCUACCAUGCGUGAGGCACUGGGUUGGAUCCUCAGCACCCCA
rfam:Ictidomys tridecemlineatus contig027152, whole genome shotgun sequence.